CUACGGGAUGCACCAGUGGGGAAUAUUGCACAAUGGGGGAAACCCUGAUGCAGCAACGCCGCGUGGAGGAUGACACAUUUCGGUGCGUAAACUCCUUUUAUAGGUCAAGAUAAUGACGGUAGCCUAUGAAUAAGCGCCGGCUAACUCCGUGCCAGCAGCCGCGGUAAUACGGAGGGCGCAAGCGUUACUCGGAAUCACUGGGCGUAAAGAGCAUGUAGGCGGGUUAAUAAGUCAGAAGUGAAAUCCAAUAGCUCAACUAUUGAACUGCUUUUGAAACUGUUAACCUAGAGUGUGGGAGAGGUAGAUGGAAUUUCUGGUGUAGGGGUAAAAUCCGUAGAGAUCAGAAGGAAUACCGAUUGCGAAGGCGAUCUACUGGAACAUUACUGACGCUGAGAUGCGAAAGCGUGAGGAGCAAACAGGAUUAGAUACCCUAGUAGUC
rnacentral:rRNA from 1 species